rnacentral:rRNA from 3 species
GCAGCAGUAGGGAAUCUUCCGCAAUGGACGAAAGUCUGACGGAGCAACGCCGCGUGAGUGAUGAAGGUUUUCGGAUCGUAAAGCUCUGUUGUUAGGGAAGAACAAGUGCCGUUCAAAUAGGGCGGCACCUUGACGGUACCUAACCAGAAAGCCACGGCUAACUACGUGCCAGCAGCCGCGGUAAUACGUAGGUGGCAAGCGUUGUCCGGAAUUAUUGGGCGUAAAGGGCUCGCAGGCGGUUUCUUAAGUCUGAUGUGAAAGCCCCCGGCUCAACCGGGGAGGGUCAUUGGAAACUGGGGAACUUGAGUGCAGAAGAGGAGAGUGGAAUUCCACGUGUAGCGGUGAAAUGCGUAGAGAUGUGGAGGAACACCAGUGGCGAAGGCGACUCUCUGGUCUGUAACUGACGCUGAGGAGCGAAAGCGUGGGGAGCGAACAGGAUUAGAUACCCUGGUAGUCCACGCCGUAAACGAUGAGUGCUAAGUGUUAGGGGGUUUCCGCCCCUUAGUGCUGCAGCUAACGCAUUAAGCACUCCGCCUGGGGAGUACGGUCGCAAGACUGAAACUCAAAGGAAUUGACGGGGGCCCGCACAAGCGGUGGAGCAUGUGGUUUAAUUCGAAGCAACGCGAAGAACCUUACCAGGUCUUGACAUCCUCUGACAAUCCUAGAGAUAGGACGUCCCCUUCGGGGGCAGAGUGACAGGUGGUGCAUGGUGUCGUCAGCUCGGUC